UAACUCCGUGCCAACAGCCGCGUAAUACAGCGGGUGCAAAGCGUUAUUCGGAAUUAUUGGGCGUAAAGGGCGCGUAGCCGGUAAUUCAAGUCAGCUGUGAAAGCCCGGGGCUCAACCCCGGAAGAGCAGUUGAAACUGGAUGACUUGAGUAUGGGAGAGGGAAGUGGAAUUCCUGGUGUAGAGGUGAAAUUCGUAGAUAUCAGGAGGAACACCGGAGGCGAAGGCGACUUCCUGGACCAAUACUGACGCUGAGGCGCGAAGGCGUGGGUAGCGAACAGGAUUAGAUACCCUGGUAGUCCACGCAGUAAACGAUGAUCACUAGGUGUAGCGGGUAUUGACCCCUGCUGUGCCGGAGCUAACGCAUUAAGUGAUCCGCCUGGGGAGUACGAUCGCAAGAUUAAAACUCAAAGGAAUUGACGGGGGCCCGCACAAGCGGUGGAGCAUGUGGUUUAAUUCGACGCAACGCGAAGAACCUUACCUGGAUUUGACAUCCCGGGGAGCUUCUGGAAACAGGAGUGUGCCCUUCGGGGAACCCGGAGACAGGUGCUGCAUGGCUGUCGUCAGCUCGUGUCGUGAGAUGUUGGGUUAAGUCCCGCAACGAGCGCAACCCUUAUCUUAAGUUACCAUCAUUUGGUUGGUGACUCUUGAGAUACUGCCCCGGUUAACGGGGAGGAAGGUGGGGAUGACGUCAAGUCCUCAUGGCCCUUAUGUCCAGGGCUACACACGUGCUACAAUGACAUGUACAAAGGGCAGCGACCUCGCGAGAGUGAGCUAAUCCCAUAAAGCAUGCCUCAGUUCGGAUUGGAGUCUGCAACUCGACUCCAUGAAGUUGGAAUCGCUAGUAAUCGCGGAUCAGCAUGCCGCGGUGAUACGUUCCCGGGCAUUGUACACACCGCCCGUCACACCAUGAGAGUUGACUGUACCAGAAGUUGUUGGGCUGACCCGCAACGGGAGGCAGGCACCUAAGGUAUGGUUGUAAUUAGGGUGAAGUC
rnacentral:rRNA from 1 species